rnacentral:rRNA from 1 species
UACGAAGGAGGCUAGCGUUGUUCGGAAUUAUUGGGCGUAAAGGGCGCGUAGGCGGCUUUGCAAGUGGCGGGUGAAAUCCCUCGGCUUAACCGAGGAACUGCCUGUCAAACUGCAUGGCUUGAGACCAGGAGAGGUGAGUGGAAUUCCCAGUGUAGCGGUGAAAUGCGUAGAUAUUGGGAGGAACACCAGUGGCGAAGGCGGCUCACUGGACUGGUACUGACGCUGAGGAGCGAAAGCGUGGGGAGCGAACAGG